AUAUUGGACAAUGGGCGAAAGCCUGAUCCAGCCAUGCCGCGUGUGUGAAGAAGGUCUUCGGAUUGUAAAGCACUUUAAGUUGGGAGGAAGGGCAGUAAGUUAAUACCUUGCUGUUUUGACGUUACCAACAGAAUAAGCACCGGCUAACUUCGUGCCAGCACGCGCGGUAAU
rnacentral:rRNA from 1 species